rnacentral:rRNA from 1 species
GACCCAGACUCCUACGGGAGGCAGCAGUGAGGAAUAUUGGUCAAUGGUCGGGAGACUGAACCAGCCAAGCCGCGUGAGGGAUGAAGGUACAGAGUAUCGUAAACCUCUUUUGUCAGGGAACAAAGGCGGGGACGUGUCCCCGGAUGAGUGUACCUGAAGAAAAGGCAUCGGCUAACUCCGUGCCAGCAGCCGCGGUAAUACGGAGGAUGCGAGCGUUAUCCGGAUUUAUUGGGUUUAAAGGGUGCGUAGGCGGACGUUUACGUCGGGGGUAAAACCCGGGGUCUCACCCCCGGCGAGCCGUUGAAACUGGCUGUCUUGAGAUGUCGAGAGGUAUGCGGAAUGUGCAGUGUAGCGGUGAAAUGCUUAGAUAUUGCGCAGAACUCCGAUUGCGAAGGCAGCAUACCGGCGGCGAUCUGACGCUGAGGCACGAAAGCGUGGGUAUCGAACAGGAUUAGAUACCCUAGUAC